UGAGGAAUUUUGGACAAUGGGGGAAACCCUGAUCCAGCGACGCCGCGUGUGGGAUGAAGGAGCUACGCUCUGUAAACCACUGUCAGCAGGGAAGAAAUACCCCUUUUGGGGGUUGGGACUGUACCUGCAGAGGAAGGACCGGCUAACUACGUGCCAGCAGCCGCGGUAAUACGUAGGGUCCAAGCGUUGUCCGGAAUUACUGGGUAUAAAGGGUGCGCAGGCGGAUUUGUGCGUCUGGGGUUAAAGACCACGGCUUAACUGUGGGAGUGCCCUAGAUACGGCAAAUCUUGAGUGUGAGAGAGGAAGAUGGAAUUCCUGGUGUAGCGGUGAAAUGCGUAGAUAUCAGGAGGAACACCGGUGGCGAAGGCGGUCUUCUGGCUCAUCACUGACGCUUAGGCACGAAAGCGCGGGUAGCAAACA
rnacentral:rRNA from 1 species